rnacentral:snRNA from 1 species
CCGGUAUUUCCAAAAAAGUCGGU